rnacentral:rRNA from 1 species
CACUCCUGCGGGAGGCAGCAGUGGGGAAUAUUGGACAAUGGGCGCAAGCCUGAUCCAGCCAUGCCGCGUGAGUGAUGAAGGCCCUAGGGUUGUAAAGCUCUUUCACCGGUGAAGAUAAUGACGGUAACCGGAGAAGAAGCCCCGGCUAACUUCGUGCCAGCAGCCGCGGUAAUACGAAGGGGGCUAGCGUUGUUCGGAUUUACUGGGCGUAAAGCGCACGUAGGCGGACUAUUAAGUCAGGGGUGAAAUCCCGGGGCUCAACCCCGGAACUGCCUUUGAUACUGGUAGUCUUGAGUUCGAGAGAGGUGAGUGGAAUUCCGAGUGUAGAGGUGAAAGUCGUAGAUAUUCGGAGGAACACCAGUGGCGAAGGCGGCUCACUGGCUCGAUACUGACGCUGAGGUGCGAAAGCGUGGGGAGCAAACAGGAUUAGAAACCCUGGUAGUCCCAUGA